rnacentral:rRNA from 1 species
CCUACGGGUCGCAGCAGUGGGGAAUAUUGCACAAUGGGCGCAAGCCUGUUGCAGCCAUGCCGCGUGUAUGAAGAAGGCCUUCGGGUUGUAAAGUACUUUCAGCGGGGAGGAAGGCGAUAGGUUAAUAACCUUGUCGAUUGACGUUACCCGCAGUAGAAGCACUGGCUAACUCCGUGCCAGCAGCCGCGGUAAUACGGAGGGUGCAAGCGUUAAUCGGAAUUACUGGGCGUAAAGCGCACGCAGGCGGUCUGUCAAGUCGGAUGUGAAAUCCCCGGGCUCAACCUGGGAACUGCAUUCGAAACUGGCAGGCUAGAGUCUUGUAGAGGGGGGUAGAAUUCCAGGUGUAGCGGUGAAAUGCGUAGAGAUCUGGAGGAAUACCGGUGGCGAAGGCGGCCCCCUGAACAAAGACUGACGCUCAGGUGCGAAAGCGUGGGGAGUAAACAGGAUUAGAUACCCUUGUAGUC